GGAGUUGUGGCUCAGUGGUAGAGCACUUGCCUAGCAGGUGUGAAGCCCUGGGUUCGAGCCUCAGCACUGCA
rnacentral:tRNA from 1 species